CGGGCGUUGUCCCCUGCCACCUGUCAGCCAGAGCAAUGAUUGGCCUCAAGGAAACAGUGUUAGGAAAGUAAAUAUGAUGCCCCCAAAUCUAGAUAUUUUAGAUAAAAAGCCACAUGUAUAACAGUCUAGAAUUUCUAAAGUGUCACAGCAGACAUUACGUCACUGGACUUUCCACGGGUGUAGGCAUUCCUUCUGCCGCAGACGUUUGUGGAGGCCUCCUCUGUGUUACGCCCUGGUCCAGGCGCUAAAGACACCACAGUGAACGAGGAUGAGGUCCCUGCUGUCACGCAGCUCACCGUCCAAGGAGAGAGGCAGACGGAGACCAAUAGACACCCUGAGGCGGGCUGCGAGCUGUGAAGACAGGAAGGCAGAGUCGGGGCAGAGAACGCCUGGAGGAGGGCAGUAGGUGGCUACUCUUGACUGACUGGCUUAGGAAGGCCUCUCAAAAGUGACACUGGAGACGCGACCAGAAUGACAAGAAGAAUCAUGCACCUCAAGAGCCUGGGGUGGGGGGGGGAUCUUCCAAGCAAAGGGCUCAAGGCGAAUGCAAGGCUGGAACAAGGUGAAUUUGCCAAGGAACAGAAAGGCCAGGGCGGCUGACUCCCACCAGAGCAAGAAAGCAAGAAAGCAAGAAAGCAAGAGAGGACGAGACGGAAGGCAGCCUUCUUAUAAACCUAAUCUUCAAAGUGAUCUUCCGUCGUUUUCGCUCAGCCCAUUCUCAAAGGGAGAACGAACUACGCAGGGUGUGAACAUCAGGAGGUGGGAUCACCGGGGCCAUCUUGGAGGCUGCCUUCCAAGCUAGUAAAUAACCAACAGAGGCUGGAGCACAUGAAUUAGGCUUCACUGCAGGGUGAUUCAACUGGGGCGUUUACUUGGGGACCCUUGAAUGUCAAUUCUUAGGGUUUUCCUUCUUGGGCUGAUCAAAUUUCCCAGAAAACACUUUUGUAAUCUCCUGGCUGGAGGGUGAAAUUUGGACUGCCAGACGUGAUGGAGCCACAUGGAGAAGAGGGCUGUGGGGGUCUCAAGACACAGCACUCCUUUAGUCUCCUACUGCGGUUAUGGUGCCCCUCUUCCCAGCGUGUCUGGUACCUCACAUUCCAAAGACCCUCUGUGUUAUCCUCUCCAGAGAAUAAAACUCCAGUCUUUUCCUGGGUCAGGGGCAGUUGCUUUGCAUCGGGGAAUUGGGGAGGAGAUCUGGAAUCCUUUUUAAAUAAGCUUUCAACCAAUUUUCCUCAUGUUAGCCUGCCCUUCACCCCCAUUUCUAGAGGUCCCUGUUGCCACCAGUUCAUGAGCCUGGUGCGGACUCUGCAGGAGAAACUUGGUUGAGUCUUGGCCUUUCCCACUCCUGGCUUGGGAUUCAGCUUUCACAGGUCUGCCAAGUCACUUACCACUCAUUCAUCUGCGUUCCAGCUUUCAAAAUUGUAGUGGCAUUGCAUCCUGUUUUGUUCUCCCUGUCCUUACGGGUUUAGUGCCUUCCUAAAAGCUCUCUUUACUGCCAUUAUAGUCUGAUUUCAGGAGGGAGCCAAAGGAGAUGUGUGUAUUCAAUCCACCCUCAUUAGCCUCAGGUAUUUCUUCUUUAUAUUUGUUUGUUUAUUUGUUUAUUGUCUGUCUUUCCCUCUUGGAUGUGGGUUCCAGGAUAACUUGUCUCUUUCGUUCAACUAUGCAUCCUCAGCCCCUAGAACCGUCUUGACACAGGUAGG
rnacentral:lncRNA from 1 species